GAUGCACUGCUUUCUAGCCUUUGAUCUUUAAGUCGUGUUCACAUUCAUAUCCAUGUGAAAGGUUAUCUUCUAAUCUGGACCCUUGAACCUUGAGCUUGUAUCGAAUCCCUUCAUGAAUAAGUCACAUUCAGACUUGGAUUUGAUUAGCCCUUGAGUUGGUUGCUUGGUCACUUAAAUCUGAUCUGAUUUGAGUCCUUUUUGCUUGUAUGAGCCCAAUC
rnacentral:lncRNA from 1 species